rnacentral:rRNA from 1 species
CUUGUACCAACUGGAUGAGCAGCGAACGGGUGAGUAACGCGUGGGGAAUCUGCCUUUGAGCGGGGGACAACAUUUGGAAACGAAUGCUAAUACCGCAUAAAAACUUUAAACACAAGUUUUAAGUUUGAAAGAUGCAAUUGCAUCACUCAAAGAUGAUCCCGCGUUGUAUUAGCUAGUUGGUGAGGUAAAGGCUCACCAAGGCGAUGAUACAUAGCCGACCUGAGAGGGUGAUCGGCCACAUUGGGACUGAGACACGGCCCAAACUCCUACGGGAG